AUUGAACGCUGGCGGCGUGCUUAACACAUGCAAGUCGUGCGGUAACAGGCGUAGCAAUACGUGCUGGCGAGUGGCGAACGGGUGAGUAACACAUCGGAACGUGCCCAGUUGUGGGGGAUAACCUAUCGAAAGGUAGGCUAAUACCGCAUGAGCUCGGCGAGAGGAAAGCGGGGGACCCAGCGAUGGGCCUCGCGCGACUGGAGCGGCCGAUGUCCGAUUAGCUAGUUGGUGGGGUAAAGGCUUACCAAGGCGACGAUCGGUAGCUGGUCUGAGAGGAUGAUCAGCCACACUGGGACUGAGACACGGCCCAGACUCCUACGGGAGGCAGCAGUGGGGAAUUUUGGACAAUGGGGGCAACCCUGAUCCAGCCAUGCCGCGUGAGUGAAGAAGGCCUCGGUUGU
rnacentral:rRNA from 1 species